rnacentral:rRNA from 1 species
CCUACGGGUGGCAGCAGUGAGGAAUAUUGGUCAAUGGGCGCGAGCCUGAACCAGCCAAGUAGCGUGAAGGAUGACUGCCCUACGGGUUGUACACUUCUUUUAUAAAGGAAUAAAGUGAGGCCCGUGUGCCUUUUUGUCUGUACUUUAUGAAUAAGGCUCGGCUAACUCCGUGCCAGCAGCCGCGGUAAUACGGAGGAUACGCGCGUUAUCCGGAUUUAUUGGGUUUAAAGGGAGCGUAGAUGGGUUGUUAAGUCAGUUGUGAAAGUUUGCGGCGCAACCGUAAAAUUGCAAUUGAUACUGGCAGUCUUGAGUACAGUUGAGGUAGGCGGAAUUCGUGGUGUAGCUGUGAAAUGCUUAGAUAUCACGAAGAACUCCGAUUGCGAAGGCAGCUUACUAAACUGCCACUGACAUUGAUGCUCGAAAGUGUGGGUAUCAAACAGGAUUAGAUACCCCGGUAGUC